AGAUCAUUUUGGGGACAAUUACAAAGUAAUCCCUUGUAGCACUCCCAAGCUUUAUACAAUUACUCACCCACUUGUUGCUCGAAAUUAGCUAUGGCCUUCUUGAGUUU